rnacentral:rRNA from 1 species
CAGCCGUAAACUAUGCGCGUUAGGUGUAUCGGUGACCACGAGUCACCGAGGUGCCGAAGGGAAACCGUGAAACGUGCCGCCUGGGAAGUACGGUCGCAAGGCUGAAACUUAAAGGAAUUGGCGGGGGAGGCACCACAACGGGUGGAGCCUGCGGUUUAAUUUGGACUCAACGCCGGGAAGCUCACCGGAUAGGACAGCAGAAUGAUUGCCGGGCUGAAGACCCUGCAUGACUAGCUGAGAAGUGGUGCAUGGCGUAGACGUCU